rnacentral:rRNA from 1 species
GAAAUUUUUAUAUAAUUAUAGGUUAAAUUUUAAUUAUUUAAAAUGUAUAGUUAUAAUUUUAAAUUUUGUUAAUCGAAUUAGAUUAGUACCUAAUUAGUCAAAAGUUAAAAAAGCAGAAGUAAAGUAAAAUUUAAACUGAAAGAAUAUUGGCAGAUUUUCUAAAUUAUCUUUGGAGGUUGAGUAAUAAUUGAGAACCCUCAUUAACUACUUUUUUAGUUGUCUCAUGUAUGAUCGUUUAUUAUAUGCUUAAGGGAUAUAAUUAAAAAUUUUUAUUUAAAAAAAUAGAUAUAUAUUUGGUUUAUAUAAAAGUAAUAUUUGACCUACAGUAAUUUGUAAUUGUGGAUCUAUUUUUUAGUAAAGUAGUGAAAAUGUAAAAGACAGUAAAAAAAUUUUUAUGAUUUUUUGAAGAUUAUUUAG